rnacentral:rRNA from 1 species
UACGUAGGGUGCGAGCGUUAAUCGGAAUUACUGGGCGUAAAGCGUGCGCAGGCGGUUUUGUAAGUCAGCUGUGAAAGCCCCGGGCUCAACCUGGGAAUUGCGGUUGAAACUGGCGAACUAGAAUCUGGCAGAGGGGGGUGGAAUUCCACGUGUAGCAGUGAAAUGCGUAGAGAUGUGGAGGAACACCGAUGGCGAAGGCAGCCCCCUGGGUCGACACUGACGCUCAUGCACGAAAGCGUGGGGAGCAAACAGG